GCUGCAAUAUCAGUGGUACACUGCUCUACGGUGUCCUCGACAUCGCCCACACGGAGGAGUGUAAAUGGCAGAGACUAUGCUGCUGAGGCCUCACAGCUGCGAGCAGAUUUUUGAAAUCAACCCAUGGUAAGGAGGAGUGCAGUGAAGCAAGGGAUCCUGAGUAAUUGUUGGUUCAUGACCUCAGCAUACAGAGACCCUCCACUUGAAGACCUAACUUCCUGCAAUCACCCGACACUAAAUGUCUUACAUUGAAAUAAAAGAUAAAACAACUCUGUACACUGUCAUAGUUCUGCAAUGUUUAUAUGUGUAUUUUUUUUUUCAAAUGUAAUGUAAGCCAAGUUGCAUUGAAACAGAGGUGGUGACAUGGUUCUGUGCAAAAGUUUUAGGCAGGUGUGAAAAAAUGCUGUAAAUCAUCAAGUCUGUCUAGGAUUACAUGAAGAGACAGAAGGAUUUGAGGAAGCCUACAUCCAAGAAGAUCUGUGGUUAGUUCUCCAAGAUGUUUGGAACAACGUACCAGCUAAGUUCCUUCAAAAACUGUGUGCUAGUGUACCUAGAAGAAUCACACCACAUAUUGAUUUGAUCUAGAUUUCUCUUCUGUUCAUUCACUGCAUUUUAUUAAUUGAUGAAAAAAUUAACACUUCCAUUUUGAAAGCAUUCUUAGUUUACAGCAUUUGUUUCACACCUGCCUGAAACUUUUGCACAGUACUGUAUAUCAGAGACAGUUUAAUUAUCAAAGAAAAUUAAUUGAUAUUGGAGAAAGUAUUGAUGGCAUACGUGUUGUAAAUAAACCAAGUGUUUCGACAUUCA